UACGUAGGGGGCAAGCGUUAUCCGGAAUUACUGGGUGUAAAGGGAGCGUAGGCGGCAUGGUAAGCCAGAUGUGAAAGCCCGCGGCUUAACCGCGCGGAUUGCAUUUGGAACUAUCAAGCUAGAGUACAGGAGAGGAAAGCGGAAUUCCUAGUGUAGCGGUGGAAUGCGUAGAUAUUAGGAAGAACACCAGUGGCGAAGGCGGCUUUCUGGACUGAAACUGACGCUGAGGCUCGAAAGCGUGGGGAGCAAACAGG
rnacentral:rRNA from 1 species